rnacentral:rRNA from 1 species
AUUGAACGCUGGCGGCAGGCCUAACACAUGCAAGUCGAGCGAGCGGCGGACGGGUGAGUAAUGUCUGGGAAACUGCCUGAUGGAGGGGGAUAACUACUGGAAACGGUAGCUAAUACCGCAUACCAUCAUAUGUGCCCAGAUGGGAUGAGCUAGUAGGUGGGGUAACGGCUCACCUAGGCUACGAUCCCUAGCUGGUCUGAGAGGAUGACCCGCCACACUGGAACGUAGACACGGUCCAGACUCCUACGGGAGGCAGCAGUGGGGAAUAUUGCGCAAGGGGCGAAAGCCUGAUGGAGCCAUGCCGCGUGUGUGACGAAGGCCUUCGGGUUGUAAAGCACUGUCAGCGGGGAGGCGUUACCCGCAGAAGAAGCACCGGCUAACUCCGUGCCAGCAGCCGCGGUAAUUC